CCUAGCCUUUCAGAGGGGGAUAACAUUUGGAGACAGAUGCUAAUACCGCAUAAGAUUACAGUACCGCAUGAUACAGUGAUCAAAGGAGCAAUCCGCUGAAAGAUGGGCUCGCGUCCGAUUAGAUAGCUGGUGAGGUAACGGCUCACCAAGUCGACGAUCGGUAGCCGGACUGAGAGGUUGAACGGCCACAUUGGGACUGAGACACGGCCCAG
rnacentral:rRNA from 1 species